GAUGAAGAACGUAGCGAAAUGCGAUAAGUAGUGUGAAUUGCAGACUUUAGUGAAUCAUCGAAUCUUUGAACGCACAUUGCGCCCGCCAGUAUUCUGGCGGGCAUGCCUGUUCGAGCGUCAUUUCAACCAUCAAGCCCCAGGCUUGUGUUGGGGACCUGCGGCUGCCGCAGGCCCUGAAAACCAGUGGCGGGCUCGCUGUCACACCGGGCGUAGUAGAUUUUAUCUCGCUCAGGGCGUGCUGCGGGUUCCGGCCGUUAAAAAGCCUUUUUUACCCAAGGUUGACCUCGGAUCAGGUAGGAAGACCCGCUGAACUUAAGCAUAUCAAUAAGCGGAGGA
rnacentral:misc_RNA from 1 species